CCUACGGUGGCAGCAGUGGGGAAUAUUGCACAAUGGGGGAAACCCUGAUGCAGCGACGCCGCGUGAGUGAAGAAGUAUCUCGGUAUGUAAAGCUCUAUCAGCAGGGAAGAAAAAAGACGGUACCUGACUAAGAAGCCCCGGCUAACUACGUGCCAGCCGCCGCGGUAAUCCGUAGGGGGCAAGCGUUAUCCGGAUUUACUGGGUGUAACGGGAGCGUAGAUGGGAUGGCAAGUCUGAAGUGAAAGCCCAGGGCUUAAGCCUGGGACUGCUGUGGAAACUGUUUGACUAGAGUGCUGGAGAGGUAAGUGGAAUUCGUGGUGUAGCGGUGAAAUGCAUAGAUAUUACGAAGAACACCAUUUGCGAAGGCGGCUUACUGGACAGUAACUGACGUUGAGGCUCGAAAGCGUGGGGAUCAAACAGGAUUAGAUACCCCGGUAGUC
rnacentral:rRNA from 1 species